AUUGGGAAGCUAGAACAAAGGAAUUCCACACCCCUCACCUCCAGUUCCUCCUGUGAGUCACAACUGAGAGGGAUGACACAUUUGGUGACAAGAUUAACAGUCGUGUGUUAGCAGUUGAAAUCUGUAUUUUACUCUUAGGUCCUUGGAAUUCGCAUCCAUCCUUUUCCUGUUCCAAGAGCCUGCCAGUUCUUCUUCUGACUAACCAGGCUUGUUAACUGAAGCAUGUCAACCCAGGAUAUGGUUUUUGUGCUUAAAUGCUCACCCUGACAAAGGCUGUUGCUACCGUGGAAUCCUAUUACCCAGUGUAGUGGCUAGCCAGGAUCUUGCUAUGAGUCGGCUGGCCUGGAACAGAAGGAACUCGGACCUGAGUCUCCCAAGCUCUGAGAUCACCAGUGUACACCAUGCCUUUCCAGUCCUAAGCCCUUAGACGACUGGACAGCCCAGUGUCCUGAGACACUUCGGAUGGCCUCUGCAGGGAUGUGCAUUCUAACAUAGCAGCGUGAUUGGCUAGUAGCUCCGUUUUUACAAAUGCACUUGUGUUGACUUAUAGAUUGGGACAUUUCUAUACAAAAUUGCUUUCUAGUAAUUAGAUAAUUUGAGAUGUGUUUUAUAACCCCGAUUUUAAUUUUACUUAAAUUUAAAGUUCACUCCAGUUAUAAACAUAAUCUGUUUCUACUAUACCAAUCUGGUGGCUAUUAUGCAAUAUGGACAUAAUUAACAUCUCCUUGUAUUCAUGUCCCCUCCUCCUGUAAAAAAACCAACUGGUCAAAAUCCAUAGAAGGAAGUUCUUAGAGGUGGAUAACAGGAUAGAGUGCACCCCAUUCCCCUGUCUUGUUGCUUCCAGGUCACUAAAUCUCAGACCCCUAAACCAAUAGAAGGGCCUUUGUCCCUGGAUGGAGCUCUCAGGCCUUUACAGUCC
rnacentral:sRNA from 1 species